CAGCUGGGGUGGAUAAUGGGCAGACCUGCGGUGUUGAGCUUGAGGCCAGAGCGAAAUGCCUUAUGUGUAUGAGCCGGAAUUGUAUCGGGCUAACAAACUGUGCCCAGAGUGAUUUGAGUGGCUG